AUGGAACAAUGUAGGCAAGGGAAGUCGGCAAAACGGAUCUGUAACUUCGGGAAAAGGAUUGGCUCUGAGGACUGGGCUCGGGGGUCCCGGCCCCGAACCCGUCGGCUGUCGGCGGAUUGCUCGAGCUGCUCACGCGGCGAGAGCGGGUCGCCGCGUGCCGGCCGGGGGACGGACCGGGAAUCGCCCCUUCGGGGGCUUUCCCCGAGCAUGAAACAGUCGACUCAGAACUGGUACGGACAAGGGGAAUCCGACUGUUUAAUUAAAACAAAGCAUUGCGAUGGUCCUCGCGGAUGCUGA
rnacentral:rRNA from 1 species